GAGGAAUAUUGGUCAAUGGACGCAAGUCUGAACCAGCCAUGCCGCGUGAAGGAUGAAGGCCUUCUGGGUUGUAAACUUCUUUUACCUGGGAAGAAACCUCUUUUUUCUAAGAGAGUUGACGGUACCAGAGGAAUAAGCACCGGCUAACUCCGUGCCAGCAGCCGCGGUAAUACGGAGGGUGCAAGCGUUAUCCGGAUUUACUGGGUUUAAAGGGUGUGUAGGCGGGCUUUUAAGUCAGUGGUGAAAUCUCCGGGCUCAACCUGGAAACUGCCAUUGAUACUAUUAGUCUUGAAUUUUGUUGAGGUAGGCGGAAUAAGUCAUGUAGCGGUGAAAUGCAUAGAUAUGACUUAGAACACCAAUUGCGAAGGCAGCUUGCUAAACAAAUAUUGACGCUGAGGCACGAAAGCGUGGGGAUCAAAC
rnacentral:rRNA from 1 species